UACGGAGGGGGCAAGCGUUAUUCGGAAUUAUUGGGCGUAAAGGGCGCGUAGGCGGUUUUUUAAGUCGGAUGUGCAAUCCCCAGGCUCAACCUGGGAACUGCAUCCGAGACUGGAAGGCUGGAGUACUGGAGAGGGUGGUGGAAUUCCUCGUGUAGCGGUGAAAUGCGUAGAGAUGAGGAGGAACACCAGUGGCGAAGGCGGCCCCCUGGGUCGACACUGACGCUCAUGCACGAAAGCGUGGGGAGCAAACAGG
rnacentral:rRNA from 1 species